rnacentral:tRNA from 1 species
UGUCAGAAGUGGGAUUCGAACCCACGCCUACAAGAGUAGACUGUGACCUGAACGCAGCGCCUUAGACAGCUUAGCCAUCCUAAGGC